UGAGGAAUAUUGGUCAAUGGGCGGGAGCCUGAACCAGCCAAGCCGCGUGAGGGAAUAAGGCGCCAAGCGUCGUAAACCUCUUUUGUCAGGGAACAAAAGCGGGCACGCGUGCCCGUCCGAGUGUACCUGAAGAAAAAGCAUCGGCU
rnacentral:rRNA from 1 species